rnacentral:rRNA from 1 species
UACGUAGGGUGCAAGCGUUGUCCGGAAUUAUUGGGCGUAAGCGCGCGCAGGCGGUCCUUUAAGUCUGAUGUGAAAGCCCACGGCUCAACCGUGGAGGGUCAUUGGAAACUGGGGGACUUGAGUGCAGAAGAGAAGAGUGGAAUUCCAUGUGUAGCGGUGAAAUGCGUAGAGAUCGGGAGGAACACCUGUGGCGAAGGCGGCCCCCUGGGCCGGCCCUGACACUGAGACGCGAAGGCGUGGGGAGCGAACGGG